GCUUAACACAUGCAAGUCGAACGAGAAUCAAUGGAUAGAGGAUUCGUCCAAUUGAAAUUAAGUUAGUGGCGGACGGGUGAAUAACGCGUGAGCAACCUGCCUAUCAGUGGGGAAUAACGUUUGGAAACGAACGCUAAUACCGCAUAAUGUACAGAGAUCGCAUGUUUUUUGUACCAAAGAUUUAUUGCUGAUAGAUGGGCUCGCGUCUGAUUAGGUAGUUGGUGAGGUAACGGCUCACCAAGCCGACGAUCAGUAGCCGGACUGAGAGGUUGAACGGCCACAUUGGAACUGAGAAACGGUCCAGACUCCUACGGGAGGCAGCAGUGGGGAAUAUUGGGCAAUGGGCGAAAGCCUGACCCAGCGACGCCGCGUGAGGGAAGACGGUCUUCGGAUUGUAAACCUCUUUCAGCAGGGAAGACAAAAGGACGGUACCUGCAGAAGAAGCCACGGCUAACUACGUGCCAGCCGCCGCCGUAAGAC
rnacentral:rRNA from 1 species